AGGGGCGUCGCCAAGUGGUAAGGCAUCGGGUUUUGGUCCCGACAUCCGCAGGUUCGAGUCCUGCCGCCCCUGCCA
rnacentral:tRNA from 1 species